UCUUUGAAUGAAAAUACCCCAUGAAUUACUCAAGACGUACAGGUGUUAUUGGUAAAGAAAACUGAAAUUCUCUCAAAAAUCAGGGCUUACGGGAAACACAUGGAAAACCAGGACUUUCCCGCCCAGAGUAAUUUUAGACACUUGAGAUAAAGAGUAAACCAUGUAGCUUAAGAGAGUGAUCUGUCACUUCUGGUCCGUGCUGGUGCCCUGAGCAGUUCUAAGGCACCAACUCUACAACCAAUCCCAGAACACCCAGACGAGGCUGGACUCCCAGGAGCAACAACAAGCCCAGGAUUAUCGGAUGUUGAAGGAGCAUGGAGGCUGCCAGAGUGACUGGUAAGACAUGCUGAUGCUGGGACAAAGAAUGA